GAACAAGUACCGCGAGGGAAAGAUGAAAAGGACUUUGAAAAGAGAGUUAAAAAGUGCUUGAAAUUGCUGGGAGGGAAGAGAAUGGAAGCUGCGGGUGCGCCCCGGUUGGAUGCGGAACGGCNNUUCGGCUGAUCCGCCGCUCAACGCGGGGCGCUGGUCAGCGUGGGCCGCCGCGCCGGGACAAGAGCGGGGAAUCGCUUCCCGCCUAUGCCGGUGCGGUGGCCGAGGAACGAAGCGUGCGCCUCUUUCGGCGUGGGUUCGCCCAACUGCGCGCUCGGGACGCUGGCGUAUUGAGCUCUUCAUCCGACCCGUCUUGAAACACGGACCAAGGAGUCUAACAUGUAUGCGAGCCGGUGGGCGGCAAACCCAUUGAGGCGCAAGUAACCUGACAGGUGGGACCCCGACCGCGAGGGAGGGAGCACCAUCGACCGACCGUGAUCUUCUGUGAAAGGUUUGAGUGUGAGCAUACCUGUUGGGACCCGAAAGAUGGUGAACUAUGCCUGAGCAGGGCGAAGCCAGAGGAAACUCUGGUGGAGGCUCGUAGCGAUACUGACGUGCAAAUCGUUCGUCAGACUUGGGUAUAGGGGCGAAAGACUAAUCGAACCAUCUAGUAGCUGGUUCCCUCCGAAGUUUCCCUCAGGAUAGCUGGAGCUCGUGUAAAAGUUUUAUCAGGUAAAGCGAAUGAUUAGAGGCAUCGGGGGUGUAACACNNNNNNNNUAUUCUCAAACUUUAAAUAGGUAAGCCGCCGGGGUU
rnacentral:rRNA from 1 species